AGCUUCGUGAUCGAGUGGUAAGAUCACUUGCCUCUCACCCUGGAGUCACGGUUUCGAACCCCGGUCGAAGAUCCUA